rnacentral:rRNA from 1 species
UGGAGGCAGCAGUGGGGAAUUUUGCGCAAUGGGCGAAAGCCUGACGCAGCAACGCCGCGUGAGUGAUGAAGGCUUUCGGGUCGUAAAGCUCUGUCAGAGGGGAAGAACCGCCGUAUGGCUAAUAUCCAUGCGGUCUGACGGUACCCUCAAAGGAAGCACCGGCUAACUCCGUGCCAGCAGCCGCGGUAAUACGGAGGGUGCGAGCGUUGUUCGGAAUUAUUGGGCGUAAAGCGCGUGUAGGCGGUCGAUUAAGUCUGGUGUGAAAGCCCUGGGCUCAACCCGGGAAGUGCAUUGGAUACUGGUCGACUUGAGUACGGGAGAGGAGAGUGGAAUUCCGAGUGUAGGGGUGAAAUCCGUAGAUAUUCGGAGGAACACCGGUGGCGAAGGCGGCUCUCUGGACCGAUACUGACGCUGAGACGCGAAAGCGUGGGGAGCAAACAGGAUUAGAAACCCGGGUAGUCCG